GCCUGGGAAAGCUGAGUGGGUAGAGCAUGAGACUCUUAAUCUCAGGGUUGUGGGUUCGAGCCCCGUGUUGGCCA